rnacentral:rRNA from 1 species
UACGAAGGGGGCUAGCGUUGCUCGGAAUGACUGGGCGUAAAGGGCGCGUAGGCGGAUGGCACAGUCAGAUGUGAAAUUCCUGGGCUUAACCUGGGGGCUGCAUUUGAUACGUGUUGUCUAGAGUGAGGAAGAGGGUUGUGGAAUUCCCAGUGUAGAGGUGAAAUUCGUAGAUAUUGGGAAGAACACCGGUGGCGAAGGCGGCUCUCUGGACCGACACUGACGCUGAGGCGCGAAAGCGUGGGGAGCAAACAGG